ensembl:snoRNA small nucleolar RNA SNORA2/SNORA34 family
UUGGCCCUGAAUCAAGACCAGCAGAUUGCUAUAGCUGCUGGUUUCAAACAGGAGCCUAAAGAGAAUUCUUUCUGUGGUCUGUUGGCUAUUUCAGAACUUUGGAAAUGUAAUGGUCAAUUCAUCAGAAAGAAACAGCU